GCUGGUGACUAGACUGCAAGUCGAGCGAUGAUUAAAGAUAGCUUGCUAUUUUUAUGAAGAGCGGCGAACGGGUGAGUAACGCGUGGGAAAUCUGCCGAGUAGCGGGGGACAACGUUUGGAAACGAACGCUAAUACCGCAUAACAAUGAGAAUCGCAUGAUUCUUAUUUGAAAGAAGCAAUUGCUUCACUACUUGAUGAUCCCGCGUUGUAUUAGCUAGUUGGUAGUGUAAAGGACUACCAAGGCGAUGAUACAUAGCCGACCUGAGAGGGUGAUCGGCCACACUGGGACUGAGACACGGCCCAGACUCCUACGGGAGGCAGCAGUAGGGAAUCUUCGGCAAUGGGGGCAACCCUGACCGAGCAACGCCGCGUGAGUGAAGAAGGUUUUCGGAUCGUAAAACUCUGUUGUUAGAGAAGAACGUUAAGUAGAGUGGAAAAUUACUUAAGUGACGGUAUCUAACCAGAAAGGGACGGCUAACUACGUGCCAGCAGCCGCGGUAAUACGUAGGUCCCAAGCGUUGUCCGGAUUUAUUGGGCGUAAAGCGAGCGCAGGUGGUUUCUUAAGUCUGAUGUAAAAGGCAGUGGCUCAACCAUUGUGUGCAUUGGAAACUGGGAGACUUGAGUGCAGGAGAGGAGAGUGGAAUUCCAUGUGUAGCGGUGAGAUGCGUAGAUAUAUGGAGGAACACCGGAGGCGAAAGCGGCUCUCUGGCCUGUAACUGACACUGAGGCUCGAAAGCGUGAGGAGCAAACAGGAUUAGAUACCCUGGUAGUCCACGCCGUAGACGAUGAGUGCUAGCUGUAGGGAGCUAUAAGUUCUCUGUAGCGCAGCUAACGCAUUAAGCACUCCGCCUGGGGAGUACGACCGCAGGGUGAGACUCAAAGGAAUUGACGGGAGCCCGCACAAGCGUGGGAGCAUGUGGUUAAUUCGAAGCAACGCGAAGACCUUACUCGGACUUGACAUCUCAUGCUAUCCUAGACAUAAGAAUUCCUUCCGAACCG
rnacentral:rRNA from 1 species